CUGUGCCAGCAGCAGCGGUAAUACAGAGACUUCGAGCGUUAUCCGGAUUUAUUGGGCGUAAAGCGUUCCGAUCGGUGGUCGUAUAUGUCUUGUGUGAAAGACCGAAGCUUAACUUCGUGUUUGCACCAGAAACUGUACGACUUGAAGAAUAAAGGGGUGGCUAGAACUCUACAAGUACCGGUGAAAUGGGUUGAUAUGUAGGGGAAUACCUAAAGCGAAAGCAGGCCACUGGGUAUUACUUGACACUGCUAGGACGAAAGCGUGGGGAGAGAAUGGGAUUAGAUACCCCAGUAUUCCACGCCCUAAACGAUGAGUGUUUACUUUUAGAGUCUGUCAAAUGACUUUGGAGGUAAAAGCUAACGCUAUAAACACUCCGCCUGUAGAGUACGGCCGCAAGGCUAAAACAUAAAGGAAUUGACGGGAACCCGCACAAGUAGUGGAUCAUGCGGCUUAAUUCGUAAGUAAGCGUGGAACCUCACCUAGGUUUGACAUGCUCUUGCAAGACUUUGGAAACUUAGUCCCUCUCUUCGGAGACUUUUGCACAGAUGAUGCACGGUCGUCGUCAGCUCGUGUCGUGAGAUGUUCGGUUAAGUCCGGUAACGAGCGCAACCCCAGUCCUUAGUUAUUUAAUGUCUAAGGAGACCGCCGAAGUUUAAUUCGGAGGAAGGAUGGGAUGACGUCAGAUCUGCGUGUCUCUUACGUCCUGGGCUACACACGUACUACAAUGCUACGGACAAAGGGCAGCAAGCGCGCGAGUGCAAGCAAAUCCCAUAAACCGUAGCACAGUUCAGAUCGCAGGCUGCAACUCGCCUGCGUGAAGGCGGAAUCGCUAGUAAUCGCAGGUCAGCAUACUGCGGUGAAUACGUUCCCGGGCCUUGUACACACCGCCCGUCACACCAUGGGAGUUGGCCACGCCCGAAGU
rnacentral:rRNA from 1 species